UACGUAGGUGGCAAGCGUUAUCCGGAUUUAUUGGGCGUAAAGGGAACGCAGGCGGUCUUUUAAGUCUGAUGUGAAAGCCUUCGGCUUAACCGGAGUAGUGCAUUGGAAACUGGGAGACUUGAGUGCAGAAGAGGAGAGUGGAACUCCAUGUGUAGCGGUGAAAUGCGUAGAUAUCAGGAGGAACACCGGUGGCGAAGGCGGUUUACUGGACCACAACUGACGCUGAGACACGAAAGCGUGGGGAGCAAACAGG
rnacentral:rRNA from 1 species